rnacentral:rRNA from 1 species
CCGGCGACCGGCGCACGGGUGAGUAACACGUAUGCAACCUGGCCGUGACAGAUGGAUAACCGGGAGAAAUCCCGCCUAAUACAACAUAAUGCCGGGAGGGGACAUCCCCUGCCGGCCAAAGGGGGCGACCCCGGUCACGGAUGGGCAUGCGGCGCAUUAGGUAGUUGGUGGGGCAACGGCCCACCAAGCCGACGAUGCGUAGGGGUUCUGAGAGGAAGGUCCCCACAUUGGAACUGAGACACGGUCCAAACUCCUACGGAAGGCAGCAG